GCCAGCAUAGCACAGCGGUAGUGCAUCCGACUUGUAAUCGGAAGGUCGUCAGUUCAAUCCUGACUGCUGGCU
rfam:Raphidiopsis brookii D9 D9_1150, whole genome shotgun sequence.